rnacentral:rRNA from 1 species
AGUGAACGCUGGCGGUAGGCCUAACACAUGCAAGUCGAACGGCAGCACAGUAAGAGCUUGCUCUUACGGGUGGCGAGUGGCGGACGGGUGAGGAAUACAUCGGAAUCUACUUUUUCGUGGGGUAUAACGUAGGGAAACUUACGCUAAUACCGCAUACGACCUACGGGUGAAAGCAGGGGAUCUUCGGACCUUGCGCGAUUGAAUGAGCCGAUGUCGGAUUAGCUAGUUGGCGGGGUAAAGGCCCACCAAGGCGACGAUCCGCAGCUGGUCUGAGAGGAUGAUCAGCCACACUGGAACUGAGACACGGUCCAGACUCCUACGGGAGGCAGCAGUGGGGAAUAUUGGACAAUGGGCGCAAGCCUGAUCCAGCCAUACCGCGUGGGUGAAGAAGGCCUUCGGGUUGUAAAGCCCUUUUGUUGGGAAAGAAAAGCAGCAGGUUAAUACCCCGCUGUUCUGACGGUACCCAAAGAAUAAGCACCGGCUAACUUCGUG